rnacentral:rRNA from 1 species
AACGAACGCUGGCGGCAGGCUAACACAUGCAAGUCGCACGAGAACGAUUCCCUUCGGGGAGACUAGUAAAGUGGCGCACGGGUGAGUAACGCGUGGGUAAUCUACCUGAUGGUACGGAAUAACGUCUCGAAAGGGGCGCUAAUACCGUAUAAGACCACGACAACUGCGGUUGUUGCGGUCAAAGGGGGCCUCUCUAUAGAAGCUCCUGCCAUUGGACGAGCCCGCGUCCCAUUAGCUUGUUGGUGAGGUAACGGCUCACCAAGGCCGCGAUGGGUAGCUGGUCUGAGAGGAUGAUCAGCCACACUGGGACUGGAACACGGCCCAGACUCCUACGGGAGGCAGCAGUGAGGAAUCUUGCGCAAUGGGGGAAACCCUGACGCAGCCAUGCCGCGUGAGUGAAGAAGGCCUUCGGGUCGUAAAGCUCUGUCAGGUGGGAAGAACCCUCAAGGGGCGAAUAAUCCUUUGAGCUGACGGUACCGCCAAAGGAAGCACCGGCUAACUCCGUGCCAGCAGCCGCGGUAAUACGGAGGGUGCAAGCGUUGUUCGGAAUUACUGGGCGUAAAGCGUGUGCAGGCGGCCAAAUAAGUCGGAUGUGAAAGCCCUCGGCUCAACCGAGGAACUGCAUUCGAUACUGCUUGGCUUGAGUCCUGGAGAGGAGAGUGGAAUUCCCGGUGUAGAGGUGAAAUUCGUAGAUAUCGGGAGGAACAUCGGUGGCGAAGGCGACUCUCUGGACAGUGACUGACGCUGAUACACGAAAGCGUGGGGAGCAAACA